CCUACGGGAGGCAGCAGUGGGGGAUAUUGGACAAUGGGGGGAACCCUGAUCCAGCGACGCCGCGUGAGUGAAGAAGUAUCUCGGUAUGUAAAGCUCUAUCAGCAGGGAAGAAGAAAUGACGGUACCUGAGUAAGAAGCCCCGGCUAACUACGUGCCAGCAGCCGCGGUAAUACGUAGGGGGCAAGCGUUAUCCGGAAUUACUGGGGGUAAAGGGAGCGUAGACGGUGAUGUAAGUCUGGAGUGAAAGGCGGGGGCCCAACCCCCGGACUGCUCUGGAAACUAUGUGACUGGAGUGCAGGAGAGGUGAGCGGAAUUCCUAGUGUAGCGGUGAAAUGCGUAGAUAUUAGGAGGAACACCAGUGGCGAAGGCGGGUCACUGGACUGUAACUGACGUUGAGGCUCGAAAGCGUGGGGAGCAAACAGGAUUAGAUACCCGGGUAGUC
rnacentral:rRNA from 1 species